rnacentral:snoRNA from 1 species
CUUCAGUGAUGAUCUGAUGACGACUCAGAAGUGGACACACUCUUGCCUUGAGAAACCCCCACAGUGCCACGUUCUGUGGUGCUGUGAUUCUGGGCUCUGGCAUAGAUGUCCUGUCCAUUGGAUGAUCUUAGAGGCAUUUGUCUGAGAAGG